UACGGAGGGUGCAAGCGUUGUCCGGAUUCACUGGGCUUAAAGGGCGCGUAGGUGGGCUAGUAAGUCCGUGGUGAAAUCUCCAAGCUUAACUUGGAAACUGCCGUGGAUACUAUUAGUCUUGAAUAUUGUGGAGGUAAGCGGAAUAUGUCAUGUAGCGGUGAAAUGCUUAGAUAUGACAUAGAACACCCAUUGCGAAGGCAGCUCACUACGGGAAUACUGACACUGAGGCACGAAAGCGUGGGGAGCAAACAGG
rnacentral:rRNA from 1 species